GCUUACGGCCAUAGCACCUUAGGCACGCCCGAUUUCGUCUGAUCUCGGAAGCUAAGCAGGGUCGGGCCUGGUUAGUACUUGGAUGGGUGACCGCCUGGGAAUACCAGGUGCUGUAAGCA
rnacentral:rRNA from 10 species